GUUUAUUUGAAGCCCCCUCUGCCCAGCCCAUCGCAACAUGUUGCUUGCUCUCUUCAUCCUGACUUUCAGUAUCUUAAAAAAGGAAAAAAUCUCAACUCCAUUUAGAGAAGGUUUAAGAGAAAGGGAACUGGGAUCAUACUUUUUCGCAUAUAUUACAUACUGGAAUGGGAGACUUUUAGAAGGACUUGUACAAGCGAACUUCGGGCCAGGAUGGGGUUUCCAAGCAAGAACCCUCAAUACUCCACACGCUUGACUAAUGAGCAUUUCCUAUCACAAGAAGCGGUGGGAGUCCCAGUCCCUCUGGUAUCAAAGAGAACCUAUAAAUUGAGUAUUUCCUUAUUACAAAA
rnacentral:lncRNA from 1 species